rnacentral:rRNA from 1 species
GUUAGGAAUAUUGGACAAUGGGCGCAAGCCUGAUCCAGCCAUGCCGCGUGAGUGAUGAAGGCCUUCGGGUUGUAAAGCUCUUUAGCCGAUGAUUAUAAUGACUGUAGUCGGAAAAUAAGCCCCGGCUAACUUCGUGCCAGCAGCCGCGGUAAUACGAAGGGGGCGAGCGUUAUGCGGAAUCACUGGGCGUAAAGCGUGCGUAGGCGGCUUUGCAAGUUGGGAGUGAAAGCCCAGGGCUCAACCCUGGAAUUGCUCUCAAAACUGCAAGGCUCGAAUUCGGGAGAGGAUAGCGGAAUUGUCAGUGUAGCAGUGAAAUGCGUAGAUAUUGACAGGAACACCAGUGGCGUAAGCGGCUAUCUGGACCGAUAUUGACGCUGAGGCACGAAAGCGUGGGGAUCAAACAGGAUUAGAUACCCUGGUAGUCC